rnacentral:rRNA from 1 species
CGGCGAGUGAAGCGGUAACAGCUCAAAUUUGAAAGCUAGCUCUUUUAGGGUUCGCAUUGUAAUUUGUAGAAGAUGCUUCGGGUGUGGCCCCGGUCUAAGUUCCUUGGAACAGGACGUCAUAGAGGGUGAGAAUCCCGUAUGUGACUGGGUGCUUUCGCUCAUGUGAAGCUCUUUCGACGAGUCGAGUUGUUUGGGAAUGCAGCUCAAAAUGGGUGGUAAAUUUCAUCUAAAGCUAAAUAUUGGCCAGAGACCGAUAGCGCACAAGUAGAGUGAUCGAAAGAUGAAAAGCACUUUGGAAAGAGAGUUAAACAGUACGUGAAAUUGUUGAAAGGGAAGCGCUUGCAACCAGACUUGCGCGCUGAUGAUCAUCCGGGCUUCUGCCCGGUGCACUCGUCUGCGCUCAGGCCAGCAUCGGUUUCGGUGGUGGGAUAAAGGCCUUGGGAAUGUAGCUCCUCUCGGGGAGUGUUAUAGCCCUCGGUGCAAUGCCGCCUACCGGGACCGAGGACCGCGCUUCGGCUAGGAUGCUGGCGUAAUGGUUGUAAGCGACCC